rnacentral:rRNA from 1 species
GACGAACGCUGGCGGCGUGCCUAAUACUUGCAAGUCGAGCGGAAGUUGGAGAGCUUGCUCUUCAACUUUAGCGGCGGACGGGUGAGUAACACGUGGGCAACCUGCCCUGCAGAUCGGGAUAACUCCGGGAAACCGGUGCUAAUACCGAAUAGUUUUCGCCACCUCCUGGUGGCGUACGGAAAGACGGUUUCGGCUGUCACUGCAGGAUGGGCCCGCGGCGCAUUAGCUAGUUGGUGGGGUAACGGCCCACCAAGGCGACGAUGCGUAGCCGACCUGCGGGGGGGAUCGGCCACACUGGGACUGAGACACGGCCCAGACUCCUACGGGAGGCAGCAGUAGGGAAUCUUCCGCGAUGGACGAAAGUCUGACGGAGCAACGCCGCGUGAGUGACGAAGGUUUUCGGAUCGUAAAACUCUGUUGUGAGGGAAGAACAAGUACCAACUAACUACUGGUACCUUGACGGUACCUCACCAGAAAGCCACGGCUAACUACGUGCCAGCAGCCGCAGUAACAC